AUUGAUGAUAAAAAGAUUGUGGGGGCUGCUUUGUUAGACUUCAGUGCGGCUUUUGACGUUAUUGAUCAUAGUCUGCUGCUGGAAAAACUGACCUGCUCAAAGGGUUCCAGGACUCUGCACACCUCCACCACCACCUCCCAUUCCUCUUGGGUCAGAGCAUCAACAGGUGCAUUGACAAUGGCCAGGGUAGAGAUGAUGGCAUCCUUUGACUCAAGAAACCGCUUCAACAUAUAAAAUGUUGAAUUCCACCUUGUAGUGCAGUCUUGUUUAGGCCUCAGCUCAGGCAUCCCCAUCUGGCGUUGUGUAGACUUUAGUUUUUCAGCACAUACUGUGCUCCUGUGGAAGUAUUCCACGGCUUUCACUUUAUCCACAGUGGGCUUCAUCACCUUCAGAGCAUCUCUUACAAUCAGGUGUAUUGUGUGGGCAAGACAUGGAUGAUGGGUCCAUUUUAACAUUUUCAUGGCUUUGGUUAUGUUAGCUGCAUAACCAAAUGCAUCCAAAUGCUACUGUGCAUCCGACUCAUUUUCCAGCUGUUGUUUUCACAGCUGUCCUUCCUCUCUCUCCUCGCUGCUAAAUGUGUGACUGUGAGUGAGUUGGCUCAGCCCUCCCUCACGCUUCUUUGGUUCAUUGGUUGACACUGAGUGUCUGAUUGACAGGAACAACAGGUGAGGCUGUUAGUCUGAGCAGACAGUCAGAACGAAUGUGUGUGUUUGAGCAUUUAGGCCAAAUAUUAUAUUCUUUUUUUGUUCUUUGAAUUAGUUAAUUAUAUUCAUUUAAAUCUUUUGAUUAUUCAUAUCUUCAUUUUUAAAUAUUUUUAUAAAAGAUUUGGCUCCUCUGAUAUGCGAGCCGGCUCCCAACGUUCACCUACAAGAGCCGGCUCUUAGAGCCGACUCGUUCGUGAACGACCCAUCACUAAUGUAAAUACGUGCUGUUUCAGCUGCCAGUACCGCUUCUGUUGGAUCUGCUUACAGUCCAGUGAGGACUGCAGGAAAUAUGAGGAGCUGUACUGGUCUCUGUUCUGCAGUAGGCAGGCAGGUGUUCACCACGUAGUACUUGUUAGUGGCGAGAUCACUCUGGAUUUCUUACAUACUCUUAUUUGAUUUCUUUAUCCUGCUCUAGAGCUAAAACAAUUUAAGCUAUGAACACGAAUCCAUCUUUAAAACAUAUACAUUUUUGAUAGCAUUUAUACUUUUUGAAAUACAUUUUUUGAAAUAAUCUCCAGUGGAUUUCAAUGGCAAUAAAAGGGGCCAUAAACUUUAAUGGAAAAAACAAAUGUUCUCCUCUUUUUCUGUUUAAGCUAUAAACACCUAGUCUGGCUGAUACCAACCUCAAAGUCCUCCUGACUUCUCUGGAAAGGAUGUUUGAUGUUGUCGGCACGAGGCUCAGCCAUGCAAGCCCCCCCCCCCCUGAAAAAGUCAAGGGGUGUGAAUACUUUGAAGGAACUGUAAAAUCCUUAACUAAAGCUGAAUCCUACAUGUACAAAUUACCUCGAUUAACCUGUACCCCCGCACAUUGACUGAAUACCGACCGGUACCCCGCUGGGUGCUGCAGCGGUCUAAGGCACUGCAUCUCAGUGCUAGAGGCGUCACUAAAGACCCUGGUUAGAUUCCAGGCUUAUCAAAACUGGCCAUGAUUGGGAGUUCCAUUGGCCCAGCGUCGUUAAGGUUUGGUUGGGAUAGGCCGUCAUUGUAAAUAAGAAUGUGUUCUUAACUGGACUUGCCUAGUUAAAUAAAGGUUAAAUAAAUAAAAA